AUCCAGCUGACGAAUUCUGAAUAGGACGAAACGCGCAUCCUGUAU
rfam:Schistosoma haematobium scaffold1233_25, whole genome shotgun sequence.